CACAAAUAUCACAGAAUUUUACAGAUACUGAAUUUUACUCAAAACUUCAAUUUUGUGCUGUAUUGGCCAUUCUCAAAGAGAAUGUUACACCCCUGCACCACGGUGAGGUUACAGAACACGCAGGGGCGUAACAGGACGAGUCAUGUUGAUUAUCAAACCUCUUGAGACCUAUAAUAUGUUUAAUAUGCACACAGCUGCCCGUGGAAUGAUGCAGGUGGCCAGAUCUAGAUGUCAGGUAAUACAAGAGACUGCGUCAAAUACAAAUGAAACAGACUUGAACAUUCCAGAUAAUGUUUACCGUGAAUUAAUGAAAGAUGACUUCUGUGAUGAAAACAAAUCAAACAAUGUAACGAAAUUGAAAAAUUCAUCAGCCAGAAUGAAAAUGUUAAUACACUCGUCGAUCUUCGCUAUCAACGGAUAUCGUCAAAUACCUACUAUUCAAUUAGCAAGACGUAAAAGUAAAAAUAUUCCUGCAUUUUGAUUUAGUAAUCGAUGUUAUAACCUGGUAACCUUAUAUAGCAGCUUUAACUGUUGGAUUUCAAUAAACGAAGUAUAGUGUUUCGGAUCAAUGAACCUUCGGACUAUAGAGCGGUCCACGAUUUUUGCGUACACAAAACUGGUAUAAAUAAUGAUUUUCCGAAUAUUCCUGUAGGAUUGCAGGAUAAAAGAAAUAUCUCGUUACUGUCUAAGAUAUCGGCUUAUCCUGCUCAGGACGAAUGGCGAGUGCAGUGAGGCUCUGCCAAGCUGCAUUCACCAUUCUAACCUUCGUAGGAUACAGCCGAUAUCUUAAGACAGCAACCGGUUAUAUAUCGAAGUGUGUUAUGCCUGGAGACACGAAAGCGAGUCUGUUAAACAUUAUAUAUUUGGAUGCAUGUGAAUCCUUAAUUUCUUCCAGUGCAUGAAAGUGAGUGUAAAAAUAAGGUAUGUAGAUGCACAUGAAUCUUAAACUGUUCCAGGGCUUUAUUGAUUACCCAAAUUUCAGCAGUAAAAAACGAUGCUGAAUCGGGCAAUAGAAAUUAUUGUCCGAUAGAAAAACAAUGUAGCAGAAGCCACACAAUUCCCAUCCCGUGAUCCGUCUGUGUAAACAAGGAUAAAGACUAUACCAGUGAUUUGCCUCUGAUCACAUGUUGUCCAAAACAUGAAUAAGUAAAUAAGUAGAUAUAUUUUUGUCAUAAAGUCAUUAUACUGCCGUCGAAUAUUGAUGAACGUUUUCAUGGCACCACCUACAGAGGCUAUGUCAACACAAUGUUGUGCUUUUGCCGCGAAAUCAUGUUUAACAGAUGGUCAGUCACCUGUGCUGUGGCCACGAGUCAAUAAUAUAAUAAAUGAACAGACGUCAAUCCUAUUGAUAAAAACUGAAGACAACUUGGACACGUCUCAGAAGCUAGAGAGAACUCCGAUCACUCGACACUAGAGAUGUUGUCCAAGCUGUUUCUAUUCGCAGUCGUCCUAGGCGUGGUGGCCGUCGUCGCGCAGUAUCCGAACUGUACCUGUGAGCAACGAAAGGGCGAGAUGCAGAUGUUUUACCAGAUGAUGAUCAACUCGGUGAUCUCCACCAUGCAUUCCAUGCAGAACAAUAAUCAACAAAGUUUUUAUGGUGCUGCUGGUGGUCGGAAAUAGAUCCCACACAUGAAGAUCUGAAGAAGAGAAAUUCAUUCUGAGAAAAUACAUCCAAAAUGUAAAAAAUGCAAACGUUGUUUUCAUUAUGUAUCAAUUUUUCUGUAGAAGCAUAGAGACAAAAAUUAUA
rnacentral:misc_RNA from 1 species